AGCCGGAUGUCUGAUCGCGGGUCGACUACGAGUGCGACAUGAGGAAAGUCCGGGCAACGCAGAGCACCAUACUUCCUAACGGGAAGCUGCCGGUGACGGCAGAGUAGUGUGACAGAAAACUACCGCCGCACACCUGUGUGUGCGGUAAGGGUGAAAAGGCGGUGUAAGAGACCACCGGAUUCCAUGGUGACGUGGGAUGCCGCACGCCUUAUGGGUUGCAAGGCCAAGUAUACCGGCAUUUAAGGGUUGCUCGCCCAUUGCCGGGGGGUAGGCUGCUUGAGCGAGGUGGCGACACAUCGCGUAGAUAAAUGAUCAGACGGUCUGACGUGCCUGGCAUCUGAUGCCGGGAACUGCCAGACCGACAUAACCCGGCUUAUAGUCCGGCUCCU
rnacentral:RNase_P_RNA from 1 species